CACAAUCUUAACUGGACAAUGGCCACAAAUGAGCAGCCUCUAGAGUCAAGCAAACUUUCUUACUAUUUCCCCGUUACAGAUAACAAAAUUCAAGCAGCAUCUUUCACCACCAGGAGGGAGUCAUCGCAUCUGAGGGUUCAGGUUCUCAAUGCCAAUUUCUCAGCAGUGGUAGGUCAGGUCUUUGAAGCUCCAUCCUAAAAUUGCAGGGCUCUAAAUAACCCAGAUGAAACCUAUUGGGAUGAAUUCACAACUGUCUGCAAGAGAAAGCUCCCGCUGACGUCAAUAGGAGUUUAUCCUGAGGGCCUAAGAAUUAGGACACAUCAUUGCUCCCUUCUGGAGGAUGCAGCCACAAGCUCCCAUCUUGGAAGCAGAGAGAAGCCUUCACCAGACAAUGAGCCUGCCAGUGCCUGUAUCUUGGAUUUCCCAGCCUUCAACUCUGAGAAAUAAAUUUCGG
rnacentral:lncRNA from 1 species